UACAAUAGCUUCUAGGGUUCCGAUUUAAGAUGAAAUUCUUGAAUGGCUGGUCCGAGAGAAGCAAGCUACUGACAGAGUUUUUGGUAAGGAACAUCCUGCCCUUAAUUAAGUAGCUACACGGCGGGAUAAAAGCCCGGGAGGU
rnacentral:sRNA from 2 species